rnacentral:misc_RNA from 1 species
AGUCACUUUUUAAGUUUUUUAAUAAAAAAGAGGAAAGUAGAUCAGUCAAUUAGGUCCCUCAAAAAAUACGUAACAGAGACUCACGAUGCAGAUGCACCUGCAGCGCACCGAAUAACGCUAUUUUGCUACGCCGGAGUCUCAUCGUUAGACUCACAUCUCACACCCCCUGUACGCUACCAAAUCUAACCUGGUUUCAUUUUCCCUGAA